CCGUAUGUCUAAGAACUGAGAAUCAAUUACAUAGCCACCGAGCCACCUCCCUUUGAGGCUCAAUCCCGCCGAUCUGACUCCCUCUGUCCCUCACCGCGACUCCCUCUUACUCUCUGAGGCUCAGACGCUUAGUCCCGCCACUGUCCCCACCGAGCCACCUCCACCGCUCCACCAUUUGAAACGGUGGUAGUAUUGGAAGGGAGCAGUGGAGCAAUUUGGUUGGAGAUUUUAUCUCUUCAAGUCUUCAUCUUGUGAGUUUAAUUUGGUCAUAAUCUUCUCUUAUGAUGGAGAUUCAUCUUAUAUUACUGCUAUGUCAUUAUUGAUGCCUUAAUGCCUA